AAAAAAUAAGUAUUCUUAUGAAAUAAUCAAAAAAUUCCUUUUAAUUAUAAAAAUCUACGUUAAAUGUAUUAUCACAUAACUCCAAAUGUAAGCCAACUCUAAUACAAAUUACAAACUUUGAACAUGUCAUUUUUAGGGGAUCAUUUUUGUAAAAACUAAAAAACAAUUAUAACUGUGGUGUACCUCAAUCUCUCUGUAAAUGUUUUGUAUGCUAGUUUAUAGAUAAUUUCAAUAUAGUUUUGGCAAGAGUAGAUUGUUCUUGUAAGGAAAUAGUUUUGUCCACUUAAGGACUUUUUUCUCACUUUGAUUCAUUGAAAUGUUUUUUGAGUUUUAAAAAAUAAUCUAUUAUUUUUCUGAUUUCUUGGUUAGGUAUAAUUUGGUGACCUCUCUGGCACCAUUCAGUGUUCUUGGCUACUAUUUCAGUUUAAAAAACAUUGUACAGAACCUUUGUCAAAUAAUUGAAAUUAGCCAAAGUAGUCCUCUUUCCCUAAUGGGAAAGGAAUGAGUAUAUAAAAACAUUUACAAUAAGAUGCAACUAUGUGUCCAAAUAUUGACAGACACAGGAGGCAUAGUGCUAACCUGAGUUUAUUAAAAAUCAAUGAACAAAAACUUCAAGGGAAAAGAUUUCCACAUUUUUAAGAAAUGUUAUAAUAACCUAUAUUAGGGAGUCACAAAUAAAAUACCACCAUAAAUAUUAUUUAAAUACUACUUUUUAAGCAAAAGAGGCUUUAUAAAAUUGCCAGCUACUAAGGAAUUAUCUCAAAUGUCAUAUCAAGGAGUUUGCAUCUGACUCACUAAUCUUUUCAAAAUGUUAGGUGUUACGUGUAGGGAGAAAUAAAUGAGUCAUUUAUUGUUUAAACAAGGGAGCAGCUGUUGGUUUUUUUCUAGUGUGUUAAAACCUUUAGUGACAUCUAUAAAUGGAAAAAGAAUCAAUGAGCUCUUCUUUCAGCUGUUGUUUUAGCAGCUGACAGUACCAUUGACUUCACUGUGAUGUAAAAUAAAAGAAAAAAGCCUUUACUCAUGAAUAGAAACCUUGAAGGUUAAAAAUACAUAAUUCUCUGAUCUGGGGGCAUUCAUCAUUCAACAAAUAUUUAUGGAGCACCCAUAAGGCCUACAGACUAUAGCAUUGAACAGCACAGAAUGAACAAAACCUGUCUUCAUGGAGCUUCUGUUCUUUGGGGCACAUUUAAGAAUACCAACUUUUGAAAUUAUAGUAUUUCUAAAGCUCUGCUGAGUUCAGAUUAUGAUUAUGUAAUAAAGUGUUUUGUGAAGAAGUAUAUACUAUCUAUGUA
rnacentral:lncRNA from 1 species